rnacentral:rRNA from 1 species
UACGUAGGCAGCAAGCGUUGUUCGGAAUUACUGGGCGUAAAGAGUGUGUAGGCGGUGCUCUAAGUCUGUUGUGAAAUCUCCCGGCUUAACUGGGAGGGUGCGGCGGAGACUGGAGUGCUAGAGUGUGGGAGAGGUAAGCGGAAUUCCUGGUGUAGCGGUGAAAUGCGUAGAUAUCAGGAGGAACAUCUGUGGUGUAGACAGCUUACUGGACCACGACUGACGCUGAGACACGAAAGCGUGGGUAGCAAACAGG